rnacentral:rRNA from 1 species
GAUGAACGCUGGCGGCGUGCUUAACACAUGCAAGUCGAACGGUGAAGGCGGAGCUUGCUCUGCUGGAUCAGUGGCGAACGGGUGAGUAACACGUGAGCAAUCUGCCCCUGACUCUGGGAUAAGCGCUGGAAACGGCGUCUAAUACUGGAUACGAGCUGCGAAGGCAUCUUCAGCAGCUGGAAAGAAUUUCGGUCAGGGAUGAGCUCGCGGCCUAUCAGCUUGUUGGUGAGGUAAUGGCUCACCAAGGCGUCGACGGGUAGCCGGCCUGAGAGGGUGACCGGCCAAACUGGGACUGAGACACGGCCCAGACUCCUACGGGAGGCAGCAGGGGGGAAUAUUGCAAAAUGGGCGAAAGCCUGAUGCAGCAACGCCGCGUGAGGGACGACGGCCUUCGGGUGGGAAACCUCUUUUAGCAGGGAAGAAGCGAAAGUGACGGUACCUGCAGAAAAAGCGCCGGCUAACUACGU